CCUACGGGAGGCAGCAGUGGGGAAUAUUGCACAAUGGGGGAAACCCUGAUGCAGCGACGCCGCGUGAGUGAAGAAGUAUUUCGGUACGUAAAGCUCUAUCAGCAGGGAAGAAAAUGACGGUACCUGACUAAGAAGCCCCGGCUAACUACGUGCCAGCAGCCGCGGUAAUACGUAGGGUGCAAGCGUUAUCCGGAUUUACUGGGUGUAAAGGGAGCGUAGACGGCAGCGCAAGUCUGAAGUGAAAUUCCAUGGCUUAACCAUGGAGCUGCUGUGGAAACUGGGCAGCUGGAGUGCAGGAGAGGUAAGCGGAAUGCCUAGUGUAGCGGUGAAAUGCGUAGAUAUUAGGAGGAACACCAGUGGCGAAGGCAGCUUACC
rnacentral:rRNA from 1 species